CUGGGAGAGACAGUACAGAAGAAUCUCUCAGAAAACAUUUCUACAUACCAAGAUUGUCCAACUUGAUUCAGGCCAUUGUACGUAGAUGUGUAACGUGUGCUAAAAAUAAUGCAAGACAAGGACCAGUAAAGCCACCAGGAGUCCAGUUUAUGGGGGGACUUCCCAUGUCCGAUUUACAAAUUGACUAUACAGUGAUGCCUAAAUCGGGUGGACAUCGCUACCUGCUGGUAGUGGUGUGCACCUAUUCAGGCUGGGUAGAAGCAUGUCCUACUCGUACAGAGAAAGCAGGAGAAGUCGUGAG